UGGGGAAUAUUGGACAAUGGACCAAAAGUCUGAUCCAGCAAUUCUGUGUGCACGAUGACGUUUUUCGGAAUGUAAAGUGCUUUCAGUUGGGAAGAAAAAAAUGACGGUACCAACAGAAGAAGUGACGGCUAAAUACGUGCCAGCAGCCGCGGUAAUACGUAUGUCACAAGCGUUAUCCGGAUUUAUUGGGCGUAAAGCGCGUCUAGGUGGUUAUGUAAGUCUGAUGUGAAAAUGCAGGGCUCAACUCUGUAUUGCGUUGGAAACUGCAUGACUAGAGUACUGGAGAGGUAAGCGGAACUACAAGUGUAGAGGUGAAAUUCGUAGAUAUUUGUAGGAAUGCCGAUGGGGAAGCCAGCUUACUGGACAGAUACUGACGCUAAAGCGCGAAAGCGUGGGUAGCAACAGGAUUAGAUACCCUGGUAGUCCACGCCGUANCGAUGAUUACUAGGUGUUGGGGGGUCGAACCUCAGCGCCCAAGCUAACGCGAUAAGUAAUCCGCCUGGGGAGUACGUACGCAAGUAU
rnacentral:rRNA from 1 species